UACGGGGGGAGCAAGCGUUGUUCGGAUUUACUGGGCGUAAAGGGCGCGUAGGCGGUCAGCACAAGUCAGUUGUGAAAUCUCCGGGCUUAACUCGGAAAGGUCAACUGAUACUGUGCGACUAGAGUGCGGAAGGGGCAACUGGAAUUCUUGGUGUAGCGGUGAAAUACGUAGAUAUCAAGAGGAACACCUGCGGCGAAGGCGGGUUGCUGGGCCGACACUGACGCUGAGGCGCGAAAGCCAGGGGAGCGAACGGG
rnacentral:rRNA from 1 species